rnacentral:rRNA from 1 species
AGAACGAACGCUGGCGGCAUGCCUAACACAUGCAAGUCGAACGAGACCUUCGGGUCUAGUGGCGCACGGGUGCGUAACGCGUGGGAAUCUGCCCUUGGGUUCGGAAUAACAGCGAGAAGUUGCUGCUAAUACCGGAUGAUAGACGUAAAGUCCAAAGAUUUAUCGCCCAAGGAUGAGCCCGCGUAGGAUUAGCUUGUUGGUGAGGUAAUGGCUCACCAAGGCGACGAUCCGUAGCUGGUCUGAGAGGAUGAUCAGCCACACUGGAACUG